rnacentral:rRNA from 1 species
AGUGAACGCUGGCGGUAGGCCUAACACAUGCAAGUCGAACGGCAGCACAGUAAGAGCUUGCUCUUACGGGUGGCGAGUGGCGGACGGGUGAGGAAUACGUCGGAAUCUACUUUUUCGUGGGGGAUAACGUAGGGAAACUUACGCUAAUACCGCAUACGACCUACGGGUGAAAGCAGGGGAUCUUCGGACCUUGCGCGAUUGAAUGAGCCGAUGUCGGAUUAGCUAGUUGGCGGGGUAAAGGCCCACCAAGGCGACGAUCCGUAGCUGGUCUGAGAGGAUGAUCAGCCACACUGGAACUGAGACACGGUCCAGACUCCUACGGGAGGCAGCAGUGGGGAAUAUUGGACAAUGGGCGCAAGCCUGAUCCAGCCAUACCGCGUGGGUGAAGAAGGCCUUCGGGUUGUAAAGCCCUUUUGUUGGGAAAGAAAAGCAGCAGGUUAAUACCCCGCUGUUCUGACGGUACCCAAAGAAUAAGCUCCGGCUAACUUCGUG